GGAGAGGUGGCUGAAACCAACAGUUUGCUAAACUGUCGUAGGGUCUACCACGAGUUCGAAUCUCGUCCUCUCCG
rfam:Prevotella sp. CAG:279 genomic scaffold, scf64